AUUGAACGCUGGCGGCAGGCCUAACACAUGCAAGUCGAGCGGAUGAAGGGAGCUUGCUCCUGGAUUCAGCGGCGGACGGGUGAGUAAUGCCUAGGAAUCUGCCUGGUAGUGGGGGAUAACGUCCGGAAACGGGCGCUAAUACCGCAUACGUCCUGAGGGAGAAAGUGGGGGAUCUUCGGACCUCACGCUAUCAGAUGAGCCUAGGUCGGAUUAGCUAGUUGGUGGGGUAAAGGCCUACCAAGGCGACGAUCCGUAACUGGUCUGAGAGGAUGAUCAGUCAAACUGGAAAUGAAACACGGGCAAAAACCCUAGGGGGGGCAGCAGGGGGGAAUAUGGGAAAAUGGGGGAAAGCCUGAUCCAGCCAUGCGGGGGGGGGGAAGAAGGUUUUCGAAUGGUAAAGCAAUUUAAGUUGGGAGGAAGGGGAGUAAGUUAAAACCUCGCUGUUUGGACGUUACAAAAAGAAAAAGAACCGGAUAACUUCGU
rnacentral:rRNA from 1 species